rnacentral:rRNA from 1 species
UACGGGGGGGUAAGCGUUGUUCGGAAUUACUGGGCGUAAAGGGCUCGUAGGCGGCCAACUAAGUCGGACGUGAAAUCCCUCAGCUUAACUGGGGAACUGCGUCCGAUACUGGAUGGCUUGGAUUUGGGAGAGGGAUGCGGAAUUCCAGGUGUAGCGGUGAAAUGCGUAGAUAUCAGGAGGAACACCGGUGGCGAAGGCGGGUCUCUGGGCCGAUACUGACGCUGAGGAGCGAAAGCGUGGGGAGCGAACAGG